UUGCCUCAACUUUAUGAGCAAGGAAAAUUAAGAUUCAGGUGGUGGCUGAUUCCUCACUGCUAAUGUGAGAUUAAUUUUUGAGCUGGUAAAGAUUUCCCCUAUGGUGACCUGCCUACUUUUCAGAAGACCUGGGAGUCAGGAUCUGUCCA